AGGAAUAUAAAAGUCCUACAUGAAUGUGAAGAGUCAACUAAAUCAACUAAAAAAAUGAAGGAUCCAGGAAGCCUACCUAGACAACAAUUGAUAUGGAUGAGACUCCAACAAAGGUGACUUUGAGAAGGGGUAUUUAGAUAUGUAGGCAAAGAACCAAGAUAGAGUGGUGAUUUGAAAACCUGAGUAAGAGAGAGAAUAAAGGAGGAGACAAGAAUCAUCAGUGUCAAAGACUUCAGAGAAAUUGAAGAGAAUGAAGAUUAAGAAAAGAUUCCUUGAAUUCAGAGAGCCUUCAUUCCAAUUGUUGCAGUGAGCUCCCAGCUCAGCGAGAAAGAGUAAGAGGAGAAGGUACCAUUCUCAUUCUGGUUCCAAGAGAAUGGUGGAGGCUUUGGUUUGAGGCUCUCAGGCCAGAAAGCUAAGCUUGGGGAACUGCAUUGAUAUGAAACCACCUGAAAAUGAGGCACCACCCAAUUUGGAACUAGGUAAUUUUCUUCUAUUUGGACUUUGAAGAACCCCUUCCUUUUGUCUUAUUUAAAAAUUUUUUU
rnacentral:lncRNA from 1 species